rnacentral:rRNA from 1 species
CCUACGGGAGGCAGCAGUGGGGAAUAUUGCACAAUGGGGGAAACCCUGAUGCAGCGACGCCGCGUGAGUGAAGAAGUAUCUCGGUACGUAAAGCUCUAUCAGCAGGGAAGAAAAUGACAGUACCUGACUAAGAAGCCCCGGCUAACUACGUGCCAGAAGCCGCGGUAAUACGUAGGGGGCAAGCGUUAGCCGGAUUUACUGGGUGUAAAGGGAGCGUAAACGGCAGCACAAGUCUGGAGUGAAAGCCCGGGGCUUAACCCCGGAACUGCUUUGGAAACUGUGCGGCUGGAGUGCAGGAGGGGUAAGCGGAAUUCCUAGUGUAGCGGUGAAAUGCGUAGAUAUUAGGAGGAACACCGGUGGCGAAGGCGGCUUACUGGACUGUAACUGACGUUGAGGCUCGAAAGCGUGGGGAGCAAACAGGAUUAGAUACCCGGGUAGUC